AGGAUAAUAGUUAAAAUAUAACGUUUAAGUUGCAUUUAAAAAUUAUUGAUAUCAAUUUAUCUU
rnacentral:tRNA from 2 species